rnacentral:rRNA from 1 species
ACCUUAUGAAUAAGGAUCGGCUAACUCCGUGCCAGCAGCCGCGGUAAUACGGAGGAUCCGAGCGUUAUCCGGAUUUAUUGGGUUUAAAGGGUGCGUAGGCGGCCUUUUAAGUCAGCGGUGAAAGUCUGUGGCUCAACCAUAGAAUUGCCGUUGAAACUGGGAGGCUUGAGUAUGUUUGAGGCAGGCGGAAUGCGUGGUGUAGCGGUGAAAUGCUUAGAUAUCACGCAGAACCCCGAUUGCGAAGGCAGCCUGCCAAGCCAUGACUGACGCUGAUGCACGAAAGCGUGGGGAUCAAACAGGAUUAGAUACCCUGGUAGUCCACGCAGUAAACGAUGAUCACUAGCUGUUUGCGAUACACAGUAAGCGGCACAGCGAAAGCGUUAAGUGAUCCACCUGGGGAGUACGCCGGCAACGGUGAAACUCAAAGGAAUUGACGGGGGCCCGCACAAGCGGAGGAACAUGUGGUUUAAUUCGAUGAUACGCGAGGAACCUUACCCGGGUUUGAACGCAUUCGGACCGAGGUGGAAACACCUUUUCUAGCAAUAGCCGUUUGCGAGGUGCUGCAUGGUUGUCGUCAGCUCGUGCCGUGAGGUGUCGGCUUAAGUGCCAUAACGAGCGCAACCCUUGCCACUAGUUACUAACAGGUGAUGCUGAGGACUCUGGUGGGACUGCCAGCGUAAGCUGCGAGGAAGGCGGGGAUGACGUCAAAUCAGCACGGCCCUUACAUCCGGGGCGACACACGUGUUACAAUGGCGUGGACAAAGGGAAGCCACCUGGCGACAGGGAGCGAAUCCCCAAACCACGUCUCAGUUCGGAUCGGAGUCUGCAACCCGACUCCGUGAAGCUGGAUUCGCUAGUAAUCGCGCAUCAGCCAUG